rnacentral:lncRNA from 1 species
GCUAUAGGUUGAAUCACUGUUAAUGACCCUCCAGAAUACCUGAAAAAACUCGGAACACAGAUCAAACACUCGAACAUCGCAAUUUGCAAAGGUCCAGUGUGUUACAUUGGGUGUAACGGCUAAAACCACAAAUCUCAAUGUGAUAAAAAUAAAUGCGAAAAAUAAAAAUCACACCGAGAUUUAUAUAAAAAAACUCCAACUUGGAGUAAAAAACCCACGGGACUAACACGCGAAAAAAUAAUUCACUAAGGCUGCGUUUGGUUCGGGUAUAAGUAAGAACUGUUAGUUCCAGGGAUAGGUACAAGUUCAGGUAUAAGCAGGAACUAGACCAAUUUUAUGUUUGGAUAAAAAUUGGGUUGUUCAUAGGAAUAAGGUAAAUAGUGUUUGGAUGGUUAGAUCGGAACAAGAGGAAUAAAAGUUAUAAUUUGAAAUUAAAAUUAUAUUAUGUAAUUAAUUAACAUCAAAAUAUUAUUUAAAAAUAAAUAA